CAAGCCAGGAUAUCAAACCAGAAUUUGAUCCUGGUUUGAUAUCCAAGUUUAUGGAGAAAUCUUAAACCAUAAUCUCUCCAUUCAAGAUUUCCCCAUAAACUUGGAUAUCAAACCAGAAUCAAAUUCUGGUUUGAUAUCCUGGUUUG